rnacentral:miRNA from 1 species
CAGGUGUGUGUCUUGUGUGUGCAUGUUCAUUUGUGUAUAUGAAUAUGAAUAUACACACACUUACACACUCAUGCACACACACACAUACAC